rnacentral:rRNA from 1 species
AUACGUAGGGGGCGAGCGUUGUCCGGAAUGAUUGGGCGUAAAGGGCGCGUAGGCGGCGCGGUAAGUCUGGAGUGAAAGUCCUGCUUUCAAGGUGGGAAUUGCUUUGGAUACUGCCGCGCUUGAGUGCAGGAGGGGUUAUCGGAAUUCCCGGUGUAGCGGUGAAAUGCGUAGAGAUCGGGAGGAACACCAGUGGCGAAGGCGGGUAACUGGACUGCAACUGACGCUGAGGCGCGAAAGUGUGGGGAGCAAACAGGAUUAGAUACCCUGGUAGUCCACACUGUAAACGAUGAAUGCUAGGUGUAAAAGGUAUCGACCCCUUUUGUGCCGGAGUCAACACAAUAAGCAUUCCGCCUGGGGAGUACGGCCGCAAGGUUGAAACUCAAAUGAAUUGGCGGGG